AUGGUCUCGAUCUCCUCACCUCGUGAUCCAUCCGCCUCAGCCUCCCAAAGUGCUGGGAUUACAUGCGUGAGCCACCGUGCCUGGCCCUCAUGUGUCUUAAAAAGAGGGGUGACUCUGAUGUGGGGUCAUGCUUGAAACUGAGAGGACGAGGUCCCCGACUCUCCAUUGCAGCCAGCUCUCUCUGGAACUAACAGAAAGGCCCCCUGGUAAGGCCAGCCAGCCGGAGGACCACCCCGCAGACCACACGCCCAGGGCCUGGCACCGAGGGGGAGGCCCCGAUCAGCAGGUGAAAGCGACACCCUGAUGACACUGGCUAGUUCACCUUCACUCUGGUCAUCGUUUACUGUACCCCGGGGCAGCUGCUGCCUGAGCCCUAUGACCCCAACCGCCGCAGCCUCUGGCUGCCUCACUGGCCCAUCAUUAAUACGUCGAUGGUGAGCGCACUGGUGUACAGCGAGGGGGCUCCACUUCCGAGACCCCCGGAGAGGCCCGUCCUGGUGGAGUUCACCCUGCUGGAGAUGGAGAAGCGAACCAAGCCUGUCUGUGUGUUCUGGAACCAUUCCCUGGCUUCUAGUUCAUAAGCAACCAGCACAGUACCUGGAAUGUAAGAGGCGCUUGGCUUAUAAAAGAGAGAAGAAAGGAACCCCUUUCACCACGAGGGACGUCAGGCCCAGCUCUCUGUCCCGGGCAUUCAUCUUUGUUCCGGCAAUUAGCUCCAGCUCUAAUGACCUGCUGUCUGCUUUAUGUCGCACCUAUGAUUUCCAGAUUGUAAAGUUUGUGGCAAAUGUAUUAAUGUUCACAUCCCAUUUACAGAUUAGCAAACUAAGGAUCUGAGAGGUUAUGUGAUUUUCCCAGUCUGGCGGGGGGCAGGGCCCUGUCAGAAGCCGAGACACACCUCGUAACAGCUUGUUAUUUGGGGCUUCCCAUCAGUGAGGCAGAAGUCAUAAUGGGGCCCUGGCUUCUGGGCAAUUCCCAUAAAACAUUGUGCCACCUGAAGAUGGAAGUGUCAGAGGAAGUUGAGAUGUUAUUUCUGAAAGCAUCUACCCUCAGAAAGAGACAGGAGUGCAUCGCAGCUGUGUGAACCCCGGGUGGUGGUUCCAGCAGCGGGGCACGUGGUGGACGCAAGAUGGCCCCGUUUGAGUUUUGCUGCUAGAUGACACGUAGAACUUGAACUUCAGAGGGUGCUCCUUGGAGGCCUUGAUGAGACAGACACAGAAGGGAAGGGAGACUGUUCCCAUGGUCCUGCCUCUGCGGCAGCGAGGCUGCUGCUCUUGCAGAUGGGUGGCUGUUCGGUGCAGGGGGCCGGUGAGGAACACGGUGGGGAGCAGCCUGCGAGGGCGCCGGGCUUUCAGCACUCACGAUACCUGCUGUUUGGUUUGGCCAGGAUGGCCUGGGAGUCCCCAGGGCCGGGCAAAGACUGCCCCCAACAGACUUAUGGGCGGAGGGAACCGCCUCACCCCUGCCUCUUCUCCCUUCUCCACGCAGUGUCAGUGGGAUGGGAGGGUGGUCUGCCCGCGGCUUCAAGCUCCUUUCCAGGAACCGGACACAUGUCGUACGCCAGUGCAGCCACACGGCCAGCUUCAAGGUGCUCAUGGACGUCUCCAGGUGUGAGAUGGGCAUCUUCUUGUGGCCACUAUGCCCGCUGAGCCUACCCCCAAACCUGCCCCUCCUCAAACUAAAU
rnacentral:lncRNA from 1 species